rnacentral:rRNA from 1 species
CCCCUUUUUUUUCAAAACAUGUCUUAAUGAUUAUUUGUCUAUAUUAAGUCUAGCCUGCUCAAUGAUUAAAAUUAAAUAGCCGCAGUAUUUUGACUGUGCGAAGGUAGCAUAAUCAUUUGUCUUUUAAUUGGAGGCUUGUAUGAAUGGUUGGAUGAGGGAAUUACUUUCUUUAUAUUAUUUAAUUGAAUUUAAUUUUUAAGUUAGAAAGCUAAAAUUUUUAAGUGGGACGAGAAGACCCUAUAGAAUUUUAUUCAUUAUGUAUAAUUUUUAUUUUGGUAUUUAAUUAUUAAUUGUUUUUAAUGAAUUUUGUUGGGGUGACAUUGAGAUUUAUAUAACUCUCAUAUAUUAAUUUAUACUAUUAAGUAUUUUUGAGAUCCUGUUUUAUGGAUAAUUAGUUUAAAUUACCUUAGGGAUAACAGCGUUAUCCUUCCUGAGAGUUCUUAUCGAUGGAAGGGGUUGCGACCUCGAUGUUGGAUUAAAAUUAGAUUUAAGUGCAGAAGCUUAAUUUCUAGGUCUGUUCGACCUUUAAAAUUUUACAUGAUCGGUUUUUUAACCCG